UCUCCGUAGGUGAACCUGCGGAGGGAUCAUUACAAGUGACCCCGGCUACGGCCGGGAUGUUCAUAACCCUUUGUUGUCCGACUCUGUUGCCUCCGGGGCGACCCUGCCUUCGGGCGGGGGCUCCGGGUGGACACUUCAAACUCUUGCGUAACUUUGCAGUCUGAGUAAUAGAUUAAAUCAAUCAAAACUUUCAACAACGGAUCUCUUGGUUCUG
rnacentral:misc_RNA from 1 species